CGGGAGGCAGCAGUAGGGAAUAUUGGACAAUGGGCGAAAGCCUGAUCCAGCAAUGCCGCGUGAGUGAUGAAGGCCUUAGGGUUGUAAAGCUCUUUUACCCGGGAUGAUAAUGACAGUACCGGGAGAAUAAGCUCCGGCUAACUCCGUGCCAGCAGCCGCGGUAAUACGGAGGGAGCUAGCGUUGUUCGGAAUUACUGGGCGUAAAGCGCACGUAGGCGGCUAUUCAAGUCAGAGGUGAAAGCCCGGGGCUCAACCCCGGAACUGCCUUUGAAACUAGAUAGCUUGAAUCCAGGAGAGGUGAGUGGAAUUCCGAGUGUAGAGGUGAAAUUCGUAGAUAUUCGGAAGAACACCAGUGGCGAAGGCGGCUCACUGGACUGGUAUUGACGCUGAGGUGCGAAAGCGUGGGGAGCAAACAGGAUUAGAUACCCGAGU
rnacentral:rRNA from 1 species